AGAGUUUGAUCAUGGCUCAGAGUGAACGCUGGCGGCGUGCCUAACACAUGCAAGUCGAACGAGAACGGAUUACAGCUUGCUGUAAUUGUCAGCUAAGUGGCGCACGGGUGAGUAAUAUAUAGUUAAUCUGCCCCAAAGAAGAGAAUAAUUGUUGGAAACGACUUGUAAUGCUCUAUAUGCCUUUAAGACAUAAGUCUGCAAGGGAAAUAUUUAUAGCUUUGGGAUGAGACUGUACGGUAUCAGCUAGUUGGUGAGGUAAUGGCUCACCAAGGCUAUGACAUCUAACUGGUUUGAGAGGAUGAUCAGUCACACUGGAACUGAGACACGGUCCAGACUCCUACGGGAGGCAGCAGUGGGGAAUAUUGCACAAUGGAGGAAACUCUGAUGCAGCAACGCCGCGUGGAGGAUGACACAUUUCGGUGCGUAAACUCCUUUUAUAUGAGAAGAUAAUGACGGUAUCAUAUGAAUAAGCACCGGCUAACUCCGUGCCAGCAGCCGCGGUAAUACGGGGGGUGCAAGCGUUACUCGGAAUCACUGGGCGUAAAGAGCAUGUAGGCUGUAGAUUAAGUUGGAAGUGAAAUCCUAUGGCUCAACCAUAGAACUGCUUCCAAAACUGAUUUGCUAGAGUAUGGGAGAGGUAGAUGGAAUUUCUGGUGUAGGGGUAAAAUCCGUAGAGAUCAGAAGGAAUACCGAUUGCGAAGGCGAUCUACUGGAACAUUACUGACGCUGAGAUGCGAAAGCGUGGGGAGCAAACAGGAUUAGAUACCCUGGUAGUCCACGCCCUAAACGAUGCACACUAGUUGUUGCU
rnacentral:rRNA from 1 species